rnacentral:rRNA from 1 species
AUUGAACGCUGGCGGAAUGCUUUACACAUGCAAGUCGAACGGCAGCACGGACUUCGGUCUGGUGGCGAGUGGCGAACGGGUGAGUAAUACAUCGGAACGUGCCCAGUCGUGGGGGAUAACGUAGCGAAAGCUACGCUAAUACCGCAUACGAUCUACGGAUGAAAGCGGGGGAUCGCAAGACCUCGCGCGAUUGGAGCGGCCGAUGGCAGAUUAGGUAGUUGGUGGGGUAAAGGCUCACCAAGCCGACGAUCUGUAGCUGGGCUGAGAGGACGACCAGCCACACUGGGACUGAGACACGGCCCAGACUCCUACGGGAGGCAGCAGUGGGGAAUUUUGGACAAUGGGCGCAAGCCUGAUCCAGCCAUUCCGCGUGCAGGAUGAAGGCCCUCGGGUUGUAAACUGCUUUUGUACGGAACGAAAAGGCUCUGGUUAAUACCCGGGGCUCAUGACGGUACCGUAAGAAUAAGCACCGGCUAACUACGUGCCAGCCGCCGCGGUAAGAC